UACGGAGGGUGCUAGCGUUGCUCGGAAUCACUGGGCGUAAAGCGCACGUAGGCGGGUCUUUAAGUCAGGGGUGAAAUCCUGGAGCUCAACUCCAGAACUGCCUUUGAUACUGGGGAUCUUGAGUCCGGAAGAGGUGAGUGGAACUCCGAGUGUAGAGGUGAAAUUCGUAGAUAUUCGCAAGAACACCAGUGGCGAAGGCGGCUCACUGGCCCGAUACUGACGCUGAGGCGCGAAAGCGUGGGGAGCAAACAGG
rnacentral:rRNA from 1 species